UACGUAGGUGGCAAGCGUUGUCCGGAAUUAUUGGGCGUAAAGCGUGCGCAGGCGGUUGUGCAAGACCGAUGUGAAAUCCCCGGGCUUAACCUGGGAAUGGCAUUGGUGACUGCACGGCUAGAGUGUGUCAGAGGGGGGUAGAAUUCCACGUGUAGCAGUGAAAUGCGUAGAUAUGUGGAGGAAUACCGAUGGCGAAGGCAGCCCCCUGGGAUAACACUGACGCUCAUGCACGAAAGCGUGGGGAGCAAACAGG
rnacentral:rRNA from 1 species